GGGAUUGAGGAAAUGGCAUGCAACAAUCAACAAAGAUUGGAUGGGCUAGAGUUUCUGCUCAGCGAAGAUAUGUUAAAUGGUAGAACUGGGACUACUUCUGGUGAAAGCAUAGUUGGCUCCUUGGGUGAGAUAAGCUCUCUGAUGUGUCCUCCUAUGGCUCCACACUGUGAAGGCAUACAGCAAGGGUUGCUGCAAGAAUGUCCUCUUGAGGAGUUGAGGUACCCUGAAC
rnacentral:misc_RNA from 1 species